rnacentral:rRNA from 1 species
AUUGAACGCUGGCGGCAUGCCUUACACAUGCAAGUCGAACGGUAACAGGUCUUCGGAUGCUGACGAGUGGCGAACGGGUGAGUAAUACAUCGGAACGUGCCCGAGAGUGGGGGAUAACGAAGCGAAAGCUUUGCUAAUACCGCAUACGAUCUCAGGAUGAAAGCAGGGGACCGCAAGGCCUUGCGCUCACGGAGCGGCCGAUGGCAGAUUAGGUAGUUGGGGGAAUAAAAGCUUACCAAGCCGACGAUCUGUAGCUGGUCUGAGAGGACGACCAGCCACACUGGGACUGAGACACGGCCCAGACUCCUACGGGAGGCAGCAGUGGGGAAUUUUGGACAAUGGGCGCAAGCCUGAUCCAGCCAUGCCGCGUGCAGGAUGAAGGCCUUCGGGUUGUAAACUGCUUUUGUACGGAACGAAAAGACUCUGGUUAAUACCUGGGGUCCAUGACGGUACCGUAAGAAUAAGCACCGGCUAACUACGUGCCAGCCGCCGCCGUAACAC